GUAUUUAUAUAAGGUUUAACCUGCCCAGUGAUUGAUUUAAAUGGCCGCAGUAUUUUGACUGUGCGAAGGUAGCAUAAUCAUUAGUUUUUUAAUUGAAAGCUUGUAUGAAUGGUUGGACGAAAUAAAUUCUGUCUCUUUUUAAUUUUUAGAAUUUAAUUUUUUAGUUAGAAAGCUAAAAUAUUUUUAAUAGACGAGAAGACCCUAUAAAGCUUUAUAUAUUAGAAUAUUAAAAUUUUCAAGGUUUUAUAAAUUUUUAAUGUUAAGAUAUAUUGGGUUGGGGAAAUUAAAAGAUUGAAUAAAUUCUUUUUAAUUUAAAUACAUAGAUUUAUGGGAGUUUGAUCCAUAUGUUUUGAUUAUAAGAUUAAGUUACUUUAGGGAUAACAGCGUAAUUUCUUUGGGGAGUUCAUAUCUAUAGAGAAGAUUGCGACCUCGAUGUUGGAUUAAAAUUAAAUUUGGGUGUAGGAGUUCAAAUGUUUGGUCUGUUCGACCAUUAAAAUUUUACGU
rnacentral:rRNA from 1 species